AGCUCUGCGGAAAGCACUAACAUAUUCCCUUUGUUAGCCGUUCCUCCUCCACAAUUUGUCUCCGCAUGGAUGACCUUGACUGCUCCGAUCCCAAAAUAGACCCCGAGCACAGCCUACCCGCUUUUUGGAACCGUUCUUCACCGAACUCAAACCCCGUCAUCAUGGUCCACUCUUCUCUGCGUCUUAAAUCCGCUGACGUACAUGGCAAGCUAACUGUACAAACUGGUAACAGCGAGAAAGCUGUCCAUACGGAGGAAAGCCAAAAACUAUGGGAGUCAAGAAUUACAGGAUUUCAGCGUUGUGUGUUUGUGUUUAACAGAAGAAAGAAACACAUAAAUGUUUGAAACAAGUAAAAGGCAGACACUUCUAACAUCCUCAGAGUCGGUGUUGAUACAUUAUUUGCUCUUGUCACUGUUUGGCAUGUAGGAGGACAUGCUACAUGGAGAAGAUGUAGGAGGGAUUUGGUCUGAAAAAGAGAUUUCGAGCUGGUAUGAUACCGAAAUGUCCUAUUUUAACCUCUGCUCGGGAGAUUUUCUUUGGCUGAUCCUUGUUACUCAACAGUGUGGCUAAAGUAUAACUGUGUAUAUCU